CGUACACUCCUACGGGAGGCAGCAGUGGGGAAUAUUGGACAAUGGGCGCAAGCCUGAUCCAGCCAUGCCGCGUGAGUGAUGAAGGCCCUAGGGAUGUAAAGCUCUUUCACCGGUGAAGAUAAUGACGGUAACCGGAGAAGAAGCCCCGGCUAACUUCGUGCCAGCAGCCGCGGUAAUACGAAGGGGGCUAGCGUUGUUCGGAUUUACUGGGCGUAAAGCGCACGUAGGCGGACUAUUAAGUCAGGGGUGAAAUCCCGGGGCUCAACCCCGGAACUGCCUUUGAUACUGGUAGUCUUGAGUUCGAGAGAGGUGAGUGGAAUUCCGAGUGUAGAGGUGAAAUUCGUAGAUAUUCGGAGGAACACCAGUGGCGAAGGCGGCUCACUGGCUCGAUACUGACGCUGAGGUGCGAAAGCGUGGGGAGCAAACAGGAUUAGAAACCCGGGUAGUCCCA
rnacentral:rRNA from 1 species